GUUAUAGGGUCAAGUGACUAAGUGCAUGUGGUGGAUGCCUUGGCAAUGAUAGGCGAAGAAGGACGUGGUAGCCUGCGAAAAGCUUCGGGGAGCUGGCAAAUAAGCUUUGAUCCGGAGAUAUCCGAAUGGGGAAACCCACCUGUAAAGGUAUCGUAUUCUGAAUACAUAGGGGUACGAGGCGAACCGGGUGAACUGAAACAUCUCAGUAGCUCGAGGAAAAGACAUCAACCGAGAUUGCGAAAGUAGUGGCGAGCGAAAUCGCAGGAGCCUGUACGAUUUAGCAUUUGGGUUAGCAAAACGGUCUGGAAAGUCCGGCCAUAGCGGGUGAUAGCCCCGUAUGUAAAAACCUGGGUGUGGAACUGAGCGUACGACAAGUAGGGCGGGACACGUGUAAUCCUGUCUGAAGAUGGGGGGACCAUCCUCCAAGGCUAAAUACUCAUCAUUGACCGAUAGUGAACAAGUACCGUGAGGGAAAGG
rnacentral:rRNA from 1 species